rnacentral:rRNA from 1 species
CCUACGGGAGGCAGCAGUGGGGAAUAUUGGGCAAUGGGCGCAAGCCUGACCCAGCAUCGCCGCGUGAAGGAAGAAGGCUCAGGGGUUGUAAACUUCUUUUGUCAGGGACGAAGCAAGUGACGGUACCUGACGAAUAAGCCACGGCUAACUACGUGCCAGCAGCCGCGGUAAUACGUAGGUGGCAAGCGUUAUCCGGAUUUAUUGGGUGUAAAGGGCGUGUAGGCGGGAAUGCAAGUCAGAUGUGAAAACUAUGGGCUCAACCCAUAGCCUGCAUUUGAAACUGUAUUUCUUGAGUGCUGGAGAGGCAGACGGAAUUCCUAGUGUAGCGGUGAAAUGCGUAGAUAUUAGGAGGAACACCAGUGGCGAAGGCGGUCUGCUGGACAGCAACUGACGGUGAGGCGCGAAAGCGUGGGGAGCAAACAGGAUUAGAUACCCUGGUAGUC